rnacentral:rRNA from 1 species
AGAGACAGCAGCAGCCGCGGGAAUACGUAGGGUGCGAGCGUUAAUCGGAAUUACUGGGCGUAAAGCGUGCGCAGGCGGUUGUGUAAGACAGGUGUGAAAUCCCCGGGCUUAGCCUGGGAACUGCGCUUGUGACUGCACAGCUAGAGUAUGGCAGAGGGGGGUGGAAUUCCACGUGUAGCAGUGAAAUGCGUAGAUAUGCGGAGGAACACCGAUGGCGAAGGCAAUCCCCUGGGCCUGCACUGACGCUCAUGCACGAAAGCGUGGGGAGCAAACAGGAUUAGAUACCCCUGUAGUCCCUGUCUCUUAUAC